UGGCUCAGAUGGUAAAGUGUCUGCCUGCAAUGCGGGAGACCCAGGUUCGAUUCCUGG
rnacentral:tRNA from 1 species